rfam:Ruegeria sp. ZGT118 contig_5, whole genome shotgun sequence.
GGAUCGGGAGGCCGCCACUCGGGACGGUGGCCAUGAAUUGAUCCGGACGUGUCGUCUCGUAUGGGCAAGGCGCCGGGGCCCGACGGUGUCGUUG